UACGUAGGUGGCAAGCGUUGUCCGGAUUUACUGGGCGUAAAGAGCGCGCAGGCGGUUGGAUAAGUCGAAUGUGAAAGCCCCCGGCUCAACCGGGGAGGGUCAUUCGAUACUGUCCGACUCGAAGGCAGGAGAGGGAAGCGGAAUUCCCGGUGUAGUGGUGAAAUGCGUAGAUAUCGGGAGGAACACCAGUGGCGAAGGCGGCUUUCUGGCCUGUUCUUGACGCUGAGGCGCGAAAGCCAGGGGAGCAAACGGG
rnacentral:rRNA from 1 species